rnacentral:rRNA from 1 species
UUUUAAGAGUUUGAUCCUGGCUCAGGACGAACGCUGGCGGCGUGCCUAACACAUGCAAGUCGAACGAAGCUUGAUGAUUGAUUUCUUCGGAAUGAAAUCUGAUAUGACUGAGUGGCGGACGGGUGAGUAACGCGUGAGCAACCUGCCCUUCGGAGGGGGAUAGUGUCUGGAAACGGACAGUAAUACCGCAUAACGUAUUUUUACCGCAUGAUAGAAAUACCAAAACUGAGGUGCCGAAGGAUGGGCUCGCGUUGGAUUAGAUAGUUGGUGGGGUAACGGCCUACCAAGUCGACGAUCCAUAGCCGGACUGAGAGGUUGAACGGCCACAUUGGGACUGAGACACGGCCCAGACUCCUACGGGAGGCAGCAGUGGGGAAUAUUGCACAAUGGGGGAAACCCUGAUGCAGCAACGCCGCGUGAAGGAAGACGGUUUUCGGAUUGUAAACUUCUGUUCUUAGUGAAGAAAAAUGACGGUAGCUAAGGAGCAAGCCACGGCUAACUACGUGCCAGCAGCCGCGGUAAUACGUAGGUGGCAAGCGUUGUCCGGAAUUACUGGGUGUAAAGGGAGCGCAGGCGGGAAGCCAAGUCAGCUGUGAAAACUACGGGCUUAACUUGUAGACUGCAGUUGAAACUGGUUUUCUUGAGUGAAGUAGAGGUUGGCGGAAUUCCGAGUGUAGCGGUGAAAUGCGUAGAUAUUCGGAGGAACACCGGUGGCGAAGGCGGCCAACUGGGCUUUAACUGACGCUGAGGCUCGA